UUUUUUUUUUUUUAAUGUUAUUACCUAGCAAAAAUUAAAAUGAAACAAAGGAAAAAAUAAAAUUAAAAAAAAUCAACAGUGACCCUACCGCUCUCCCCAUAGGAUUGUCCCCACUGUGUGGCCUGAGAGGUGAAAGGCAGAGAAGUCAAGGUCGCACACAGGGCAUGGGUGAGGCAGACAUGCAGGAAGCUCAGCUCCUGGGGCUCCUGCUUGGAGCCACUCAACCUGCAAGGGCACGUGGCUGGUCUCACCAAUAGCCUUCACCCCCAUGUGCCAAAGUGCAGCCGGAAGGAAGACUGGUGAACUUCACAAGGUUCCUUGAACCUUAUAGGUCAAUCCCUUGACGACUGCUCUUAUCUAUCCAAACAGGCCAAGUCUGGCCCUGUAAAUAGUGGGCAAUUUAUGUGCCCCGAACACAAAACACAUUAUUAUUCAUGUUAAGCUAUGUCAGUGGAGGAAGGGCGUGGACCUGAAUGGCCUUGAGGAGGAGCAGCAGCCAUGGCUUUUCCCAGAGGAGGGUCAGGAAUAGCUGUAUCAAUGAAACGUCUGCUCAAACAAAGGAAGAGGAGGUUGGGCUAAAGGGAUGGAUCCAAGAAAGGAAAGACUGCUGCGACUGCAGGCUGCUGAGAAAUUACUGGAAUGGAAAUGGGAAGACCACUGCGCCAAAGAGAAAACCCAGGACACCAGGAAAUGACCCUCCCAUCUUGCUCUGCAGAGCCCGGGGCCAAAGGGAAAUGGCCAUCUCUGUCUCCCCACCCCUUUCUCAGUAUCCUCCCGAGGGUAGCCUUCCCUGGCACAGAAACUGAGGGCUCCUGGGUCAAGUCCCACUAAGGAGGAUGGAACUGACGAGAAGGCCUGGCAUGGCCAGAUGUGACUAGGGCGGGUCUACUGUACUGGAGAGAAGAGUGUGAAACCCGGGGAGUCUUGCUCCAAUGGAGGGUAGGGGUGGGGGCACUGGGCACAGUGCUCUUGGCCCCCCAUCACCCUUAUUACUGAUGGUGACGCUCCACGGUCCCCUCUCCCACCCGGCUUUUCCCAGUGAUUCUCGAGGUGGGGAAGGAGGGUGACAUGCUCCCCUGGGUAGGUCCAAAUCUCCAAUCACCUUGGAAGUAGUGAGCAGAGACAGACCACACUUCCAGUGUGUCUUUCUCCCUUAGCAACUGGCUUCUUUUCUAAACAAAAAACAAACAAAAAAAACCCUUUCUAUUGGAUAUAGUAAUGCACAUUUGGUGCACAUUUUUAGCAAACAGUUGUGAAUUAAUGGUUAAAAAAAAAAAAAAAGCAGUUCGUUUACCACCCCCAGUUGCAUUUGCAGGAGGGGCCCCUGAGCUACAGGUGUGGGCUGUGCUGGCCCUUCUGCCCUGUGUGCCCAGCCUCCGGCCUCCAGGGGCAGCGACACUCCCUUCCUGUCAUAGAUCCAGGCCCCAGCAUUACUGUACUUUUCUUUCUUUCUUCCAGUCAAACCAAUACUUUCUUCCAGAAAAUCUGACAGUCUGCAGUGCCAAAAGAAUAAAAAUCUGUAUCUCAUAGUUGUGAGAGUUAAAAAGUCCCAGGUACCCUAUAACCUGACCUCUUGAGAAUCACUGUUCACCUGCUCAGGGACCUACAGGUUUGGGGUUUUGUUUUUAUUUAAGCUGUAACACACUUUCCAAGCUAUCUUCAUGGCCAAAGGUUUUGCAACAGAGUGGGUUUAUUUAUUUUUAUUUUUAAUUUUUUUUACGGCCACACUUGUGGCACAUGGAAAUUCCCAGGCCAAGAGUGCCCUACGCCACAGCCAUGGCCACACUGAAUCCAAGCCUCAUCUGCGACCUUGGCCACAGCUUACAGCAAUGCUGGAUCCUCAACCCACUGUAUGGGGCCAGGGAUUGAACCUGCAUCCUCAUGGACACUCUGUUGGGUUCUUAACCGGCUGACCCACAACAGGAACACCUCAGAGUAGGUUUUAAAGGUCGUUUCCCUUCACCAUCCCCUGAAUCCUUCCGCAAACAACCAUAAGAGGCAUUUGGUGAGAGAGGAGACGAUGCUGAAGGUGAAAAAAUUUCCAUAUCUGGUGACCUUGGUGUUGAGAAGAAUUGAUGGCUGGGAAAGCUUUGCUUCAAUAAUUCCCACCACGUCCUCUGUGUUUUGUAUAAGGAGAACACACCACUAGUGCAGGGUGUCCUUGUACCCAAGCAGAGGACAGCACAUGCAACAGUUUCACAAACCAUUGUUAGUUAUCUGGUAUUUACGCCAGGCCUCGAGGUUUAUUUAAAUAAAAAGUAGCAAGGGAGAUUGUGACCUCCAGCCGCUCAGCUGCCUGACACUCCUAUUCAAAGUCACCUGUAGCAAUUCUAUGUCUUAGGAGGAAAAAGAAAAUUCCAUAAAUCAACUCAGUGAUUAGGGAUGACACCUCUGCUGAAAAUGACACUAAAAAUCUUAGCAUGAAUCCUUGGAAAACCAGAAGCCAGAUUAUGUAGGUGAAGGAGGCAACAAAGAUCAUUUUAAGCAGACGUUCUGUGCCUGCAAAGGUUGUUUUUUUUUUUUAAUUAAAAAACACGUAGGAGUUCCUGCUGUAGCUCAGUGGGUUAAGGACCCGACAUCGUCUUGGUGAGGAUGCAGGUUCAAUCCCUGGCCUCGCUCAGUGGGCUAAGGAUCUGCUGUGUGGUGCACAGAUGUAGCUCAGAUGUGGUGUUGCUGUGGCUGUGGCGUAGGCCUCAACUGCAGCUCAGAUUCUGCCCCCUGGCCCAGGAACUUCCAUAUGCUGCAGGUGCAGCCAUAAGAAGAAGAAGAAAAAACAUAUAACAGACGGUCUCAAACAUCCUUUUGAAUUAGUGAAAGCAUGAUACAUAACUUCCUCCUGGAUUUUUAAUAAAUCAUCUUUGUGUAUUUUAAGGUGUUGAUGUCCAUUAAAACUUUUUUAUUAUGGAAAAUAAACAUAUACAAAAGGUUGAGUACUUCAAUGUGGCCCCUGUACCAUCAUCCAGCUUCAACAAUUUUUUUUUGAAGUAACAACUCACAGCCCAAUCUUGUUUUUUUUUUUCUUUUUUUUUAAUUUGGCUUUUUGCCUUUUCUAGGGCCGCUCCCGCGGCACAUGGAGGUUCCCAGAAAAUGGCAAAACAAACAAACAAAAAAAACCCUGAGUUCCUUUGCAUUGUACCCACUUCUUUAAAGCCAAUUCUCUGCUUUUAAAGCAUGGGUUUUAUUCAGAGGGUAUCUUGCAAAAUGUUUUCCCCAAUAAAAAGGAGAAAAAAUCCAAUUACCAAGUGAGGGGAAAUGACAGAACCAUAAAGACAAGACAAGGAAAGAGAAAAAAAAAAAAAAAAAAGAGUAAUCGUAGGUGGAGGCUUGGGGAAACAGGAAGAAAUUUGGGAGCUCUGUUCUGGGUGUGAGAAUGGGAAACCACUGACCUCCUGGCUCUUAGAUUCAAGGGGCGGGGUAACCCCUGAGAAGGUCUACGUUAAAGGGCAGCUGGUUUAGUGGUUCAGGACAGGGAUUCUGGCGCCACUCAGCUAGCCUGCAAACCAAGGCUCUGCCAGUUACUAGCUGUGCCAUCCAGGGUAGGUCAUUGCUCUUCUGUGCUUCAGUUAACUCAUCCAUCAAAUGAGAAAAACAGCACCUGCCUCAAAGGGUUGCUGUGAGGAUUACCUUGAUUAUGUGCUAAGCAGCUAGAACAACACAGAGCAUACGCCAAUCACGACAUAAGUGUUUGAUGCUAUAGUCAUCAGUGCUGCUGAGUCCACCUGCACAUGCCUUUGGAAGCCACAGGGCACAGAGCAGUAGGGAUCUCAGAGGGCCUGGGGAGGAAUCCAGACACCACCACUUACUGGCUGUGUGACAUCGGGCACUUUAAUAAUCGCUCUGUGCCUCAGCUUCCUCAUCUGUAAACAGGCACUACCAUCCCACCUCACUGGAGUGCUUGCUGUAAAUAUGAAUUUAGAUAAUCCACGUUACGUGCUUGGGGCUCCUGCUGGGAGGGUCCCAGCAAGCACCCCUUGCUUGCAGGUUUCUAGACGGGGUCACGGCUGGAUAUCUGAUUGCCAGCAACAACCUGAUGUUGGUAAUUUUCCUCCUUUAAUGGCAAGAAAGGAAGGAGCAGUUUGGAGGAAGGGGUUGGAUCCCAGGCUCUGAGCCACGGGGGGCCCUUCUCAGCACAGCAGUGCGUAUACGAAAAGACAACCCUGGGGGGAAAGGGCGGUUCACACGCAGUUUUUCUAAGAGCUGUUAGUUACACUGUGAUUGUAAAGGAUCUCAAAGGAAAGAGCCAGCAGAUUCGGGUUUAAAUAAAGCCCCAGUUAGGAAUCAUUGCCCCUGAAGUGGCUGAGGCUUUCGAGGGCCACCCGUUGGCCUCACAGCCCAUGGCACCUUCCUGCCACAUCCCUCGGCGCAGAUACUACGUGAGUGGCUUAAGGUCUUGGGCGCCUGUGCAAUUUGAUAAAGGCCUUUACCAAGCGCUC
rnacentral:lncRNA from 1 species